UCUAGUGAUGAUAGCACUCGGGCUACACCUGUUCCCAUACCGAACACAGAAGUUAAGCCGAGUUGCGCCGAUGGUACUGCGUUAGUGGGAGAGUAGGUGAUCGCUAGAC
rnacentral:rRNA from 1 species